GACGAACGCUGGCGGCGUGCUUAACACAUGCAAGUCGAACGAUGAACCCGGAGCUUGCUCCGGUGGAUUAGUGGCGAACGGGUGAGUAACACGUGAGUAACCUGCCCUUGACUCUGGGAUAACUGCGGGAAACUGUAGCUAAUACCGGAUACGACCCUCGGCGGCAUCGCCAGGGGGUGGAAAGAAUUUCGGUCAAGGAUGGACUCGCGGCCUAUCAGCUAGUUGGUGAGGUAACGGCUCAUCAAGGCGACGACGGGUAGCCGGCCUGAGAGGGUGACCGGCCACACUGGGACUGAGACACGGCCCAGACUCCUACGGGAGGCAGCAGUGGGGAAUAUUGCACAAUGGGCGCAAGCCUGAUGCAACAACGCCGCGUGAGGGAAGACGGCCUUCGGGUUGUAAACCUCUUUUAGUAGGGAAGAAGCGAAAGUGACGGUACCUGCAGAAAAAGCACCGGCUAACUACGUGCCAGCCGCCGCAGUAA
rnacentral:rRNA from 1 species